rnacentral:rRNA from 1 species
AGAUUGAACGCUGGCGGCAUGCCUUACACAUGCAAGUCGAACGGCAGCACGGGAGCAAUCCUGGUGGCGAGUGGCGAACGGGUGAGUAAUACAUCGGAACGUGCCCAGUAGUGGGGGAUAACCCGGCGAAAGCCGGACUAAUACCGCAUACGACCUACGGGUGAAAGCAGGGGAUCGCAAGACCUUGCGCUAUUGGAGCGGCCGAUGUCAGAUUAGCUAGUUGGUGGGUAAAGGCCCACCAAGGCGACGAUCUGUAGCUGGUCUGAGAGGACGACCAGCCACACUGGGACUGAGACACGGCCCAGACUCCUACGGGAGGCAGCAGUGGGAAUUUGGACAAUGGCGAAAGCCUGAUCCAGCCAUGCCGCGUGCGGGAAGAAGGCCUUCGGGUUGUAAACCGCGUUUUUGCUAGGGAAGAAACGCGUACCGGCUAAUACCGUUGGAGUAAUGACGUACCUGAAGAAUAAGCACGGACUAACGUACGUGACCAG